AAUAAAAAAGGGAUCUUAGUGGGUCACAAAAUUUGGAAAGAUACUAGGUGAGUUUGUAGCAACUAAGAAAGAUUUACAGAAACCAGUGUUGCAGGGGCUGAAAAUAGAAACCUGGGUUAACAGUGCCAGAUCUCUCGCUCUCUUCUUCCCUCAUUCCCUUCUUUUUCAGCUUUGCUCAUCUCUGUUUGACUUCAUUCUUUUCUGCAGCAGGCAGGACUUGGCUAUGUGGCAAGAAACAUGGUUGCUGAGCAACCAUAAAGAAAGAGCUUUUAGGGGGCCUGUAGGGGUUCCAGUGUGCGUGUAACAAUUCCAGGGACAUGUUCUAAUUAGACUUGCUUGGAUUCCAUGUUCAUCCCUUGCACCAAUCAUCAGCGCCAGUGAAAUAGGGCGCUACAAUCAACUGACACAGGACUGAGCUUCCUAAAGUUGGUCAUGAGGGGACCUCUACGGAGUGAGGAGCUUUCAAAUUGGCUCCAGAUCGGCUCCACCGAAAGCCUACAUCUGGUCUGGGGAAACACUCCUGCAUUUGUCCCACCAUCUCUGGAUGGUCAGUCCUCUGCUCUGUGGCCGUAGGUCCAUCUAUCCACAGCCUCUCUUCAUGGGCCUUACAAACCCCAAACUCCAGAGGACACAUCAUGUCACUCCUAAUGAUCUGCUGCUUACGGUUCUGUUGGAGCCUGUCCAACUGCCUGAAAACUGUGCUGGUGCCAAUGUUUGGGGCUGGGUGUAGGGAAAGAAUGAACUAGAACGGAUGGAACCUGCACUACUGCGUGCCCGUCACUCUGUGAUAGGUUUUUACGGCCCGGGUUUAAUCAGGAUUGACCAACACCCAGGGGCAACGGGUAAGCACGGCCGGCUGCCCACCUGCAGGACGCAGGCGGCUGGGCCUUGAGGACGCGGGCUUAGCAGCCCACGCGGUCCCACAGCCACCGAGGGCCCGCCCGGGAGGCCCCACGGCACAGUCCGAGCUCUUUCCAGCUCGUGCAGCGACCGCUUCAGAAGGAAAGUUCUUCUCAGAUGUAGGUACGCUGAGGUUGUUUGGAAAAAGGUAAACAAGGCUCAUAAGUUUCGUUUUUACGGUUCCUCUUUCAAAGGAGCCCCGUUUCGCUCCUCUGUCUUUCUCAUGCCUCUGGGGGACCCGCAGGAGUUCAGUUAUGAGCCUCAAGAUCAUACGCUCAGGCUCCCAUUUCCUCUCCCUGUGGUAGCACCCCGUAACCAGGACACAAGAGUACUGAGAGUAGCACCCAAGACCAAAG